CACGAACCGUACGAACGUUAUUCGGAAUUACUGAGCUUAAAGGGUUUGUAGGCGGCCUUGUAAGUCAGGUGUGAAAUCCCUCGGCUCAACCGAGGAAUGGCGCUUGAUACUGCACGGCUUGAGGGAGACAGGGGUAAGCGGAACUGAUGGUGGAGCGGUGAAAUGCGUUGAUAUCAUCAGGAACACCGGUGGCGAAAGCGGCUUACUGGGUCUCUUCUGACGCUGAGGAACGAAAGCUAGGGUAGCGAACGGG
rnacentral:rRNA from 1 species